rnacentral:ncRNA from 1 species
AAAGGCUUGGUCCUGACUUUACUAUCAGCUCUGGCACAAUUUACACAUGCAAGUCUCCGCAGCCCUGUGAGGAUGCCCUUAAUCCCCUGCCCGGGGACGAGGAGCAGGCAUCAGGCACAAACUAUUAGCCCAAGACGCCUUGCCAUGCCACACCCCCAAGGGAAUUCAGCAGUGAUAAAUAUUAAGCCAUAAGUGAAAACUUGACUUAGUUAGUGCCAAGAGGGCCGGUAAAACUCGUGCCAGCCACCGCGGUUAUACGAGAGGCCCUAGCUGAUAAAUACGGCGUAAAGGGUGGUUAAGGAGAGCACAAAUAAAGCCGAAGGGCCUCUUGGCCGUUAUACGCUUCUGAGCGCCCGAAGUCCUCAUACGAAAGUAACUUUAACACCAGCCCACCUGAUUCCACGAGAACUGAGAAACAAACUGGGAUUAGAUACCCCACUAUGCUCAGUCAUAAACCUAGACGUUACAAAUUACAAUAAACGUCCGCCAGGGUAUUACGAGCGUCAGGCUUAAAACCCAAAGGAUUUGGCGGUGCCUUAGACCCCCCUAGAGGAGCCUGUUCUACAACCGAUAACCCCCGUUAAACCUCACCAUCUUUAGCCAUUCCCGCCUAUAUACCGCCGUCGUCAGCUUACCCUGUGAGGGAGUAAUAGUAAGCAAAAUUGACAUAAUCCAAAACGUCAGGUCGAGGUGUAGCGAAUGAGAUGGGAAGAAAUGGGCUACAUUUUCUAACACAGAACAAUACGAACAACACCAUGAAAAAUGGUGCUCGAAGGAGGAUUUAGUAGUAAAAAGGAAACAGAGUGUCCUUUUGAACCCGGCUCUAAGGCGCGUACACACCGCCCGUCACCCUCCCCUGUCAACCGCAUCAUACAGUACAUCACAACAAAGCACUGACAAGGGGAGGCAAGUCGUAACAUGGUAAGUGUACCGGAAGGUGCACUUGGAUCAAACC